rnacentral:tRNA from 2 species
GGAGCAGUGGCCGAGUGGUCGAAGGCAGCGGUUUUGAAAACCGCCGUACGGUUAACGCUGUACCGGGGGUUCGAAUCCCUCCUGCUCCG